CUCUUUGUUGCUAAUAUCUCUCCCCAAACUAAACUAUUUCAUAUCAAAGAUUUCUUCAAAGAUGUUGGAGAAGUUGUUCGUGUUCGACUUAUUGUAAACCACGAGGGUAAGCAUGUGGGUUAUGGCUUUGUUGACUUUGCUUCUGCUAACGAAGCAAAGAAGGCGCUGGAAAAGAAGAAUGGUGAAUAUUUGCAUGAUCA